UACGGAGGGGGCUAGCGUUGUUCGGAAUUACUGGGCGUAAAGCGCACGUAGGCGGCUUUGUAAGUUAGAGGUGAAAGCCCAGGGCUUAACCCUGGAAUUGCCUUUAAGACUGCAUCGCUAGAAUCGUGGAGAGGUGAGUGGAAUUCCGAGUGUAGAGGUGAAAUUCGUAGAUAUUCGGAAGAACACCAGUGUCGAAGGCGACUCACUGGACACGUAUUGACGCUGAGGCGCGAAAGCGUGGGGAGCAAACAGG
rnacentral:rRNA from 1 species